AGAGAAGGAGUCUCACUAUGUAACCAAGUCUGGUCUCCAGUUCCUGGCCCUAAGUGAUCCUCCCAUCUGGACCUCCCAAAGCACUGGGAUUACAGAGGGUCUUGCUCUGUCACCCCUGCUGGAAUGAAGUAACAUGACCACAGCUCACUGCAGCCUCAAUCUCCUCGGCUCAAUUGAUCCUCCUGCUUCAGCCCCUCGAGUAGCUGGGACUACAAGCAUAUGCCACUACAAGUAAUCAGAUCAUGGGGGGCAGUUUCCCCAUGCUGUUCUCGUGAUAAUGAGAAUUGCUAUGCUGAUAAUUUUUACAGUUACUGUGAUUUCAAGGUUGUUGGUUUCAAGUGCUACUGCAAAGCUGUGCAGAAAGGAAUAUGAAUACGGUCUUUAUAUUUCUCUGUAGAGCUGGAACCAGAUUGGCAGCAAACACUAAGUUGAACCAACUUAGUUGUUCCAGUAAACUUGGAAUCAGCAUCUGAGGGAUUAUAGUGAAAUCUGAGGGGCCUUCUGUUCCUAGUUCAGUUGUCCUGUG